rnacentral:rRNA from 1 species
AACAGGAUUAGAUACCCUGGUAGUCCACGCCGUAAACGAUGAGUGCUAGGUGUUGGGGGGCUACGCCCCUCAGUGCCGAAGGUAACCCAUUAAGCACUCCGCCUGGGGAGUACGGCCGCAAGGCUGAAACUCAAAGGAAUUGACGGGGGCCCGCACAAGCGGUGGAGCAUGUGGUUCAAUUCGAAGCAACGCGAAGAACCUUACCAGGGCUUGACAUCCCGCUGACCCCUCCAGAGAUGGAGGUUUCCUUCGGGACAGCGGUGACAGGUGGUGCAUGGUUGUCGUCAGCUCGUGUCGUGAGAUGUUGGGUUCAGUCCCGCAACGAGCGCAACCCUUGUCGUUAGUUGCCAGCAUUUCGGAUGGGCACUCUAACGAGACAGCCGGUGAAAGCCGGAGGAAGGUGGGGAUGACGUCAAAUCAUCAUGCCCCUUAUGUCCUGGGCUACACACGUGCUACAAUGGCUGGUACAAAGGGCAGCGAACCCGCGAGGGGGAGCCAAUCCCAAAAAGCCAGUCUCAGUUCGGAUCGCAGGCUGCAACUCGCCUGCGUGAAGCCGGAAUCGCUAGUAAUCGCGGAUCAGCAUGCCGCGGUGAAUACGUUCCCGGGCCUUGUACACACCGCCCGUCACACCACGAGAGUUUGCAACACCCGAAGUCGGUGAGGCAACCUUUUAGGAGCCAGCCGCCGAAGGUGGGGCAGAUGAUUGGGGUGAAGUCGUAACAAGGUAACC